rnacentral:rRNA from 1 species
CCUACGGGUGGCAGCAGUGAGGAAUAUUGGUCAAUGGACGAGAGUCUGAACCAGCCAAGUAGCGUGAAGGAUGACUGCCCUAUGGGUUGUAAACUUCUUUUAUAUGGGAAUAAAAUGUUCCACGUGUGGGAUUUUGUAUGUACCAUAUGAAUAAGGAUCGGCUAACUCCGUACCAGCAGCCGCGGUAAUACGGAGGAUCCGAGCGUUAUCCGGAUUUAUUGGGUUUAACGGGAGCGUAGGUGGAUUGUUAAGUCAGUUGUGAAAGUUUGCGGCUCAACCGUAAAAUUGCAGUUGAAACUGGCAGUCUUGAGUACAGUAGAGGUGGGCGGAAUUCGUGGUGUAGCGGUGAAAUGCUUAGAUAUCACGAAGAACUCCGAUUGCGAAGGCAGUUCACUGGACUGCAACUGACACUGAGGCUCGAAAGUGUGGGUAUCAAACAGGAUUAGAUACCCUAGUAGUC